UACGGUAGGGUGCAAGCGUUGUCCGGAAUUAUUGGGCGUAAAGAGCUCGUAGGCGGUCUGUCGCGUCGGCUGUGAAAUCCCGAGGCUCAACCUCGGGUCUGCAGUCGAUACGGGCAAACUAGAGUAUUGCAGGGGAGACUGGAAUUCCUGGUGUAGCGGUGAAAUGCGCAGAUAUCAGGAGGAACACCGGUGGCGAAGGCGGGUCUCUGGGCAACUACUGACGCUGAGGCACGAAGGCCAGGGGAGCAAACGGG
rnacentral:rRNA from 1 species